rnacentral:rRNA from 1 species
CAUGCAAGUCGAACGGUGACGAUGGAGCUUGCUCCAUCUGAUCAGUGGCGAACGGGUGAGUAACACGUGAGCAACCUACCCUUGACAUCGGGAUAAGCGAUCGAAAGAACGUCUAAUACCGAAUACCAGCUCGGCGGGCAUCCGCUGAGCUUGAAAGCUCCGGCGGUCAUGGAUGGGCUCGCGGCCUAUCAGCUUGUUGGUGAGGUAACGGCUCACCAAGGCUUCGACGGGUAGCCGGCCUGAGAGGGCGACCGGCCACACUGGGACUGAGAUACGGCCCAGACUCCUACGGGAGGCAGCAGUGGGGAAUAUUGCACAAUGGGCGCAAGCCUGAUGCAGCAACGCCGCGUGCGGGAUGACGGCCUUCGGGUUGUAAACCGCUUUCAGCAGGGACGAAGCGAAAGUGACGGUACCUGCAGAAGAAGCACCGGCCAACUACGUGCCAGCAGCCGCGGUGAUACGUAGGGUGCAAGCGUUGUCCGGAAUUAUUGGGCGUAAAGAGCUUGUAGGCGGUUUGUCGCGUCGGAUGUGAAAACUCAGGGCUUAACCCUGAGCGUGCUUUCGAUACGGGCAGACUAGAGGAAGUUAGGGGAGAACGGAAUUCCUGGUGGAGCGGUGGAAUGCGCAGAUAUCAGGAGGAACACCAGUGGCGAAGGCGGUUCUCUGGGACUUUCCUGACGCUGAGAAGCGAAAGCAUGGGGAUCAAACAGGCUUAGAUACCCUGGUAGUCCAUGCCGUAAACGGUGGGCACUAGGUGUGGGACUCAUUCCACGAGUUCCGUGCCGUAGCUAACGCAUUAAGUGCCCCGCCUGGGGAGUACGGCCGCAAGGCUAAAACUCAAAGGAAUUGACGGGGGCCCGCACAAGCGGCGGA